UACGUAGGGCGCAAGCGUUAUCCGGAAUUAUUGGGCGUAAAGAGCUCGUAGGCGGUUUGUCGCGUCUGCUGUGAAAGACCGGGGCUCAACCCCGGGCCUGCAGUCGAUACGGGCAGACUAGAGUGCGGUAGGGGAGACUGGAAUUCCUGGUGUAGCGGUGAAAUGCGCAGAUAUCAGGAGGAACACCGGUGGCGAAGGCGGGUCUCUGGGCCGUAACUGACGCUGAGGAGCGAAAGCGUGGGGAGCGAACAGG
rnacentral:rRNA from 1 species